UGCGGAAUUUUAGAUAAUGGAGGGAACUCUGAUCUAGCGACGCCGCGUGCAGGAAGAAGGUCUUCGGAUUGUAAACUGCUGUGGUAAGGGAAAAAUGCUAUGUAGAGUGGAAAGCUACAUAGAGGGAUGGUACCUUACUAGAAAGCCCCGGCUAACUACGUGCCAGCAGCCGCGGUAAUACGUAGGGGGCGAGCGUUACCCGGAAUCACUGGGCGUAAAGGGAGCGUAGGUGGCCUAACAUGUCAACUGUGAAAACCCGGAGCUCAAGUCAGGACGUGCAGUUGAAACGGGUAGGGUUGAGGACGGUAGAGGGAGACGGAACUGGCAGUGUAGGGGUAAAAUCGUUGGAUAUUGGCAGGAACGGCGGUGACGAAGGUGGUUGUCUGGGCCGGUUCUGACACUGAUGCUCGAAA
rnacentral:rRNA from 1 species